GAAGUAGUGCAUUUGCCCAAAUUAGAACGAUACAGAGAAGGUCAGCAUGGCCCCUGUGCAUGGGCAUAUUACCCUUAUCAAACAGCUAAAUUUUA
rnacentral:snRNA from 1 species